rnacentral:lncRNA from 1 species
GGGGUUACUUUUAUUUCUGAAGAUCUUCAACAACACAGGAAUGAAAAAUUCCUCUCCCUACCAGAUACCAUCAGAAGGGCAGGGUGAUUGUGAAUGGUACUAAGUAGCCAAUUCCUGAACAACAGCACACAGGAUUUUGGUUAACUCCACGGGGCAACGUUAAGGCACUGGGGUGCUGGGGGAUGCUGCCUGUUCAUAAGGCAAGGAGUCUGCCCAGGUGUGAAAGAGAGCCGGAGACACAUGUGUUAAAAUGCAAGAAAAACGAAAUCACAUAAAUGAAUGUGAAGCGGGAGUGAUCCAAGAGCGCCUGACUGUGCCACCAGGUCAGAAGAGGCCUUGAUGACUAUGAAGUCCUCUGAAGCCACGGCCUGUGGCUGCUGCGGGCUGUGAUGGUGCCGAGUGGAGCUGACUAGCAGCAAGCAGGGGUGUCUCCAUUUUGGAAGAUGGGG